rnacentral:rRNA from 1 species
AUUGAACGCUGGCGGCAGGCCUAACACAUGCAAGUCGAACGAGUGGCGGACGGGUGAGUAAUGUCUGGGAAACUGCCCGAUGGAGGGGGAUACCUACUGGAAACGGUAGCUAAUACCGCAUACCAUCGGAUGUUCCCAGAUGGGAUUAGCUAGUAGGUGGGGGAAAGGCUCACCUAGGCAACGAUCACUAGCUGGUCUGCGAGGAUGACCAGCCACACUGGAACGGAGACACGGUCCAGACUCCUACGGGAGGCAGCAGUGGGGAAUAUUGCACAAUGGGCGCAAGCCUGACGCAGCCAUGCCGCGUGUAUGAAGAAGGCCUUCGGGUUGUAAAGUACUUUCAUCGGGGAGGCGUUACCCGCAGAAGAAGCACCGGCUAACUCCGUGCCAGCAGCCGCGGUAAUUC